AGAGUUUGAUCCUGGCUCAGAACUAACGCUGGCGGCGUGGCUAAGACAUGCAAGUCGAACGGAAUAUAUGAUUGAGUAAUCAUGACUAUAUUUAGUGGCGAAAGGGCGAGGAAUAAAUAGGUAACGUACCCCGAACAUCAGAAUAGCGUCUCGAAAGAGGCAGUAAUACUGUAUAAUAUCAUUAUUCUCAAGUUUAAUGAUCAAAGAUUUAUCGGUUUGGGAGCGGCCUAUUUCCCAUCAGCUAGUUGGUAAGGUAAUGGCUUACCAAGGCUACGACGGGUAUCGGGACUGAGAGGUUGACCCGACGCAUCGGAACUGAGACACUGUCCGGACCUCCACGGAGGGCUGCAGUAACGAAUAUUGCACAAUGAACGAAAGUUUGAUGCAGCAACGCCGCGUGUGGGAUGAAGCUCCUUGGAGUGUAAACUACUGUCAGGGGUCAGAAAGUGCGUUUCGGCGCAUUGAUCACCCCCAGAGGAAGUCACGGCUAACUUCGUGCCAGCAGCCGCGGUAAUACGAAGGUGGCGAGCGUUGUUCGGAAUUAUUGGGCUUAAAGAGCACGUAGGCGGAUCAGAAAGUGUCUUGUGAAAACCCCCGGCUUAACCGGGGAAUUGCUUGGCAAACUUCUAGAUCUUGAGUCAAGUAGGGGUACAUGGAACUCUUAGUGGAGCGGUGGAAUGCGUAGAUAUUAAGAGGAACGCCAAUGGUGAAGACAGUGUACUGGGCUUGUACUGACGCUGAGGUGCGAAAGCGUGGGGAGCGAACGGGAUUAGAUACCCCGGUAGUCCACGCCGUAAACGAUGUCUACUAGGUUGUGGGAGUUCUGACACCUUCACAGCCGAAGCAAAAGUGUUAAGUAGACCGCCUGGGGAGUACGGUCGCAAGGCUAAAACUCAAAGGAAUUGACGGGGGCUCACACAAGCGGUGGAGCAUGUGGAUUAAUUCGAAUCAACGCGCAGAACCUUACCUGGGUUUGACAUGUAUGGAUGCCUAUCUGGAAACAGAGUCGGCUGCCUUAGGGUGAAACUUACACAGGUGCUGCAUGGCUGUCGUCAGCUCGUGUCGUGAGAUGUCGGGUUAAGUCCUUUAACGAGCGAAACCCUUACCGUUAGUUGCCAGCGCGUCAUGGCGGGGACUCUAGCGGGACUGCCGGUGUCAAACCGGAGGAAGGCGGGGAUGACGUCAAGUCCUCAUGGCCUUUAUGCCCAGGGCUUCACACGUGCUACAAUGGUAACUACAAAGCGAAGCAAGACCGCGAGGUGGAGCAAAUCGCAAAAAAGUUGCCUCAGUUCGGAUUGCAGGCUGUCAACUCGCCUGCAUGAAGUUGGAAUCGCUAGUAAUCCGUAUCAGCUAUGACGCGGUGAAUGUGUUCCUGAGCCUUGUACACACCGCCCGUCAAGUGAUGGAAGUCGGGAGCACCCGAAGUCGAAUUGCUAACCUUUUAUUAGGAGGCGUUUGCCGACGGUGAGUUCGAUGACUGGCACUAAGUCGGAACAAGGUA
rnacentral:rRNA from 1 species